AUUGAACGCUGGCGGCAGGCUUAACACAUGCAAGUCGAGCGGGGUGAUGGUGCUUGCACUAUCACUUAGCGGCGGACGGGUGAGUAAUGCUUAGGAAUCUGCCUAUUAGUGGGGGACAACAUCUCGAAAGGGAUGCUAAUACCGCAUACGUCCUACGGGAGAAAGCAGGGGAUCACUUGUGACCUUGCGCUAAUAGAUGAGCCUAAGGCGGAUGAGCUAGUUGGUGGGGUGAAGGCCUACCAAGGCGCCGAGCUGUAGCGGGUCUGAGAGGAUCGUCAGCCACGCUGGGACGGAGCCACGGCCCUGACUCCUACGGGAGGUAGCAGUGGGGAAUAUUGGACAAUGGGGGGAACCCUGAUCCAGCCAUGCCGCGUGUGUGAGGAAGGCCUUAUGGUUGUAAAGCACUUUAAGCGAGGAGGAGGCUCUUUUGGUUAAUACCCAAGAUGAGUGGACGUUACUCGCAGAAUAAGCACCGGCUAACUCUGUGCCAGCCGCCGCAGUAA
rnacentral:rRNA from 1 species